ACAGGAGCUGGACUCUGGGAUGAAUCCAGCAUCAGAAAGGUGCUCCACGAGGACAAUUCCUGUGCUCCAGCCAGACCAGAUUGGAAAACCCAACCAGGUGUGCAAUAGGGAUGUGGGGCCCCCACGACCAGCUGGAGACCUGCUCCCAUUUGGCUUUCCCAUUACUUUCCAAUGUAGAUGGAGCCAUGUGACACCCGGAGUCCAUCAGCAGCAACACACCAGUUACGGAAAAGACUCCAAAACAUCACCAAAAAGAGGACUGGGCAAUACUGUGAAUUUCAAGUCUUUGAUGAACCAGCAUUCCAGUAACCCUGCCAGAUACAGAUACCACUGGUCUUAACUAGCACAGCCAGAGCUGAAGUUGCCAAGAACUCUGGAAAAAAAAAGGGAGGAAAACAAAGUCAGCUGACUGCAUGCCAAGGAGGGGAAAAACAGGUACCUCUGGAGCCCUCUCCACAUGAUGCUAUGGAGGGAAUUUUUUACCCUGUGGAGAAAUACCAGGGUAUUUCCUAUGGAAAUUCCCUAUGGAGAAAGCCGAAAGAAGCAGCUUCGACUCAACGCCCAGCUUUUAGAUGCCUAAACUGAGCUGACAGCAAUUCCUGUGCACAGGACUGCCCAGUGACGGGCUGUGUGUGAGGGACGCUGCUGCAGGGUACGGGCUGUUCCACCAGGGACCGCAGUUUGUUCAGUUUCUGGCAGAUAACAAGGAAGCAUCUCCUGAUCUGUAGCCGUCUGGGGAAUCCCUUUUCUAGAGGAAAGAGAAGUUGGGGAGGAAGAAGGUUGGUGGGCUGAGUCCUGAACCUGACCUAGAGCUGUGCCAAGAAAUCCAUGUGCUGUGUUUGAGUGCCCUGGGCCUUUGUAGCUUCAAACACCACAAUACAAAUGCCUGGUCUGUUGUGCUCGUGGAUGUGUUUAUGAUCACUUGGAGGAUAAAAUACAACACUUUUCCAUGAUGGAGACUCCAGUCCCAACCAAGAGAGCACAACCACGCCGGUGUAACACUCCUCCUGCAAACACACCACCACCCAGGUAAGAGUUCAUCUGACUGAAAUAUCCCUGAGGCAGCUGACAAGAAACCUUGAACUGCUUGAAUACAAAACCAGAUGCCUGUGUUCACUGUGGGGUGACCCUCUGCUCCAGCUCUCUGGAGCAGUGAGGCCAAGCAGUCCCAGGGCAGGCGGGAGACUCGGGAGCGCCGCCAGGCUGAUGGAGACCAGCGUUUGUCUGAGGAUUAUCCUCAGGCCCCUCAUCAUCACACUUUGGCUUGUUCUGCGUGGAUGGGGACUUGAUGACAAUUCCCUGAAAUUUCAAUUUGGAAGAAAGAGCUUCAUGUUUGACCUUUUCUCUCCAGCGCCGUGUCUGCCUGCCUUGCCCACAGGCUUCAGAUGGGUCCUGUUCCCUUCGGUUUAAGGUCCAGAUGAGCGAAAUGAGGAGAUCCCAUGUCGGCUGCAUGAGCGUUCUUGCCAUUGCCCGUGGCUGGAGUUGUGAGUUUUCUGUGUCAUGGACCAUCGUGAGAGAAAACCAUGUGCUGAGGGAGAAACCCAGCAAUGAAGGAGUAAAUAGCUGCUCUGAAGAUCAGCUUAUUAAGAGGCAGACAUCUGAAUGAACUCUUUUAAUUGUUAACUUAUAAGUUGGGAAUUUGUGAAAUGUGACAAAUAAGGAAGUAAUUGAGAAUGCCUGCUGCACUGAGAUCUGUCUCUGCCAACAUAUGCGUUCUCUGCUGUGGUGCUGUGGUAAUCCUGGUGUGGCACAGGCAGGACGAAGGAGGUGUGCAGGGGAAUAUCCACUGGAGCCAGAACGGCAGGGCCUUGAAAAUUCCAUAUGAGGAUCUCAGAGUAGAGUAAGACACCAUCAGGAGACUGGAACCUGUGCCAGCCUGCAGAGGCCUGUCCUCCAGCUGAGAACAGCUCAAGUGCAACGUGUGCUGGCCACGUGUCCUCCUGUGCCUUGUUCAUUUUUCCUUUGGGCCAAAAAGACAUGGGAAGAACCUGCCACCUCUGCCAGCUGUGCCAGAAAACUUCUUUCCUGAAGAAGUCGUGUGUGAUUGAUCUCUGAAGCAACUGCUGAGUUACAGUCCCACAAAUAACAUGGAAUUGCUGUCUGCUUGUGUUCUCUGGUAGUGAUUUUUUACCAGGAUUCUGUACCUGGCAACAGUAGCUCAGCCCAUCUCUGCGUGAAUCCAGUCCAGCUCUGAAUAUCUUGAACACUACGCACACAGAAAGAUUACUUAGAUGUUUAGGAUUUCUCUUCACAAAGCAGACGAUACAGAUGCUCAGGAAGAUUCAGUGAAAUGGUAGUGUAAUGAUAAAGAUUUGAUUGUGCUAGUCCACCAGUUUGUGAACUUUAAGGAAAAUACUUCAGAAAUCACAGCUUGGGAUUUCUUCCCUACAGAUUAUUUUAAACUGUGCCAUAAGCAGACAGAAGAUCUCCAGCAACAUAACUUUGUAGUAAGAAAAUGCCUUCAAGCUGUCCCAGAAGACAAGGGCUUUACACAGAGAUGUGUCCCCAAUGUACAGUUCCAUGGGGUUCAUGCCCAAGAACAUGGAAAAAUCCUUCUACUACUGCCCUCCUGGCCACCUUGGAGUACAGAAAGCAAGCAACCAGCUUAUACAACUGCAAAAUCUACUUAAAAGAAGGGAUUAUCAUGUUCCUUCCUCUCUGGGGAAAGGGAGAAAGACUGACCAGGAAAACAGGACUGAUAGUAAAUGUUUUGGGGUUUUUUUUUAAAUAAUUAAAUAUCUUACAUUCCCAUAAUGACUGCAUUGUUUUAUGAACUCAGAGGUAACAUUCAGAAAUCAUGACUGAUAGGAAAUGGUAAAAAAUUAUCAAAUCUGUUGCAUUCCCAGAAUCACUGCACUUUUUUUAUAAUCUCACAGAUUGAUAACAUUCCGAAAUCAUGACUGAUAGUAAAUGGAUUUUUUUAGAAAUGAUUAAAUCUGUUCCAUUCCCAGAAUUUUUUAAUCUCACAGAAACAUUCGGAAAUCAUGACUGAUAGUAAGUGAUAAAAGAUGAUUAAAUCUGUUCCAUUCCCUGAAUCACUGCAUUUUUUUAUAAUCUCACAGAUAAUGUUCAGAAAUCAUGACUGAUAAUAAAUGGGGUUUUGAAAAAAAAAAGUUUAAAUCUGUUCCAUUCCCAGAAUCACUACAUUUUUUCAUCAUUUCACAGGUAACAUUCAGAAAUCACAACUGAUAGAAAAUGUAUUUUUUUAAAUGAUAAAAUGUUACAUUCCUAUAAUCACUGCAUUUUUUUAUGAUCUCACAGGUAACAUUCAGAAAUCAUGACUGAUAGUAAAUGUAUUUUUUUAAUGAGAAAAUCUGUUACAUUCCCAUAAUCACUGCACUUUUUUAUGAUCUCACAGAUACCAUUCAGAAACCAUCACUGAUAGGAAAUAAUAAAAAACUAUCAAAUCUGUUACAUUCCCCUAAUCACUGCUUUUAUUUUCUGUAAUCUCGCAGAUCCCACUCAGAAAUCAUGACUGAAAGUAAAUGGUUUCUUGAAGAAAAGAUGAAGUCUUUUACAUUUCUGUAAUCCCUGUGCUUUUUUAAGAGUACCUCCAUAUAUGUUUAAUCUAUGAACACUAAACACAUUUUGCAGUAGUUUGAAAACAGUUCUGUUGAGACUUGCUGCAGUUUUUAAUAUAACUGUAGAUACCUAAUCUAGUGUCAUCUCUGUGUCACGUUGAUGGUGCUAGAAGAGCCUCUGGCACUUUUCUGAAAAGGCACCUAUUUGGGUUUAAAAUGAGUAUAUUUGAGGUCAUUAGGAAAGGAAAUUUCCAGCACUAAUUCUGCCCUAGCACAGGUUUUAGCAGAAAGAACAAACCAAAGAACAAAAGGAAACCCAACAACUGUGUUUGAUGAAUCCAUGUGCAAUAUUUUUGUUACAAUGAAAUAAAAGACCAGACACCUUGAAGUUGCUCUCCUGUGUUUAAUUCUUCUGAGCUACUUUUUAAAUUGAUCUCCCAGUACUUGGUCUCUUCCCACCCUUGUUAUUAAACUAACAAAAGCAGUUUAUACCACCACACUAUAAGCAAAGUAAUAAA